rnacentral:rRNA from 1 species
UACGGAAGGGGCAAGCGUUGUUCGGAAUCAUUGGGCGUAAAGGGCGCGUAGGUGGUUCUGUAUGUCUACCGUGAAAGCAUACGGCUCAACUGUAUUUUUGUCGGUAGAAACUGCAGGACUUGAGGCUGGGAGGGGCUGGUGGAAUUCCCUGUGUAGCGGUGAAAUGCGUAAGAGUAGGUGGGGAGAACACUCGUGGCGAAGGCGGCCAGCUAGACCAGUUCUGACACUGAGGCGCGACAGCGUGGGGAGCAAACAGG